AGGUAAUGACGUUUCACUGUCUCUUAGCAACUGCCUCCACAUCUCUGAGCAACAGGGGGAACUGGCUAUAGACCCCACCAAGAUGAGAAAAGAGAAUGAAGUACUCCUGGUUCUUCUGCUCCUGCUUUGCCAGUCCUCUAAGCUAAUCCUUUGACAUCAGAUGUUGGUAUCCUAUACAACUCCCGUCUACUGAGAGCAGGUGCGCAUUUGGGAGCACGAACAAUUCAUUUCAUGAUUUCAUUUCAUGAUUACCUAUCUCAAGGAAAGGGACCUUCAUACACAAUGUGGAAAAGAAAAGAAAAGAAUGCUUUUGGCCAAAUCUUCCCUGGAGUCACUUACACUAUCUUGCAAAGCCCAGGCAUCGAUGAGACUUAGAAAUGUUCCCAGGGACACGAAACUGAGUUGGGAAGCAUGCUUCAAAAGGUGGACAACAAUGAGACCGAGAAUGAGAAUCAGACCACAUCCUAGGACUCAACAGCUCGGGUUGAAAGAGUUCCGAACUCAGAUAUCAGGUGGAAUUGAACGGAGCAGAGACAAAGACCAGAGAGAACAGAGCCUUGAUGAUAUUGAGCACCAUCUCUCACGUUGUUCCCCAAUCCUCUUCUUUCUACAGCUCCAUCUUCAAGCAGAAUGGAGAGUAAAGGGUUGCAAGAGGAACACAACACUGGGCAGGGGAUCAGAAUGACAAAAACCAAACCCAUGGGCUUAGAGGAAAACGUGGAAGACAAGGCAGGAGGUGAGACAGUUGAGACCCAGAGAGGUAUGACAGCUUCCUGAAGUCGUCAUGGAAUAUGUAUCACGGAGAUGGGUAUGCAGCUGAGGUAGAGCUUUCUUUGUGAAAGGAAGCUUUCCAGAAGGCAGCAUUAGUGAAUUCCUAUGCCUUCUCACAGGAGCAGUUGGGACCUUCUGAUCUCAAUAUGCAAAGCAGCUGGUAACUUGUAAAUCAGCAGCUCUCAGGUUGACUGUUAAAGAAGACUUUUGCAAGGAUGGUGUGACCAUCUAGCAUGGGACCUACUGAUGGUCAGGGAGUGGUCAUAUGUUCCUGAGCGAAAGCACCAUAGGCAGAAAGACUGGGACCCUCAAGACCUGAGGUAUGGCCUCUGAGAUGGUGCAGCUGCAGGAGAGGUUCCUCUUGAUCACUGUGCUGACUGACAGAAGGUUGAGAUGAUCCAUGAUGCCUCUGCUGGGCUAUAAACACGGUUCCUUGAAGUACAUGAUUGUGUUUGGAAAUAAAGCUUUCUGAUGCAAAUUAAG
rnacentral:lncRNA from 1 species